rnacentral:rRNA from 1 species
UACGUAGGGUGCGAGCGUUAAUCGGAAUUACUGGGCGUAAAGCGUGCGCAGGCGGUUUUGUAAGACAGAGGUGAAAUCCCCGGGCUCAACCUGGGAACUGCCUUUGUGACUGCAAGGCUUGAGUGCGGCAGAGGGGGAUGGAAUUCCGCGUGUAGCAGUGAAAUGCGUAGAGAUGUGGAGGAACACCGAUGGCGAAGGCAGCCCCCUGGGCCAACACUGACGCUCAGGCACGAAAGCGUGGGGAGCAAACAGG